rnacentral:tRNA from 1 species
GAGGGUAUAGCUCAAGUGGUAGAGCACAAGCUUAACAUGCACAAGGUCCUGAGUUCAAUCCUCAGUACCUCCU